rnacentral:rRNA from 1 species
UUGAACGCUGGCGGCAUGCCUUACACAUGCAAGUCGAACGGUAGAGGAGCAAUCCUCGAGAGUGGCGAACGGGUGAGUAACGCAUCGGAACGUGCCCAGUAGUGGGGGAUAGCCCGGCGAAAGCCGGAUUAAUACCGCAUGUUACCUGAGGGUGAAAGCGGGGGACUCGCAAGAGCCUCGCGCUACUGGAGCGGCCGAUGUCAGAUUAGGCAGCUGGUGGGGUAAAAGCCUACCAAGCCGACGAUCUGUAGCUGGUCUGAGAGGACGACCAGCCACACUGGGACUGAGACACGGCCCAGACUCCUACGGGAGGCAGCAGUGGGGAAUUUUGGACAAUGGGCGCAAGCCUGAUCCAGCCAUGCCGUGUGCGGGAAGAAGGCCUUCGGGUUGUAAACCGCUUUUGUCAGGGAAGAAAUCUUCUGAGCUAAUACCUCGGGAGGAUGACGUUACCUGAAGAAUAAGCACCGGCUAACUCCGU